UAGGUUAAAGUCCGCUGGGUUGGGCGUUUAGUUGUUAACUAAAAUUUUCCGGGAUCAAGGCCCGGUGACCUAGG
rnacentral:tRNA from 1 species